ACUCAAAUGAAUUGACGGGGGCCCGCACAAGCGGUGGAGCAUGUGGUUUAAUUCGAUGCAACGCGAAAAACCUUACCUACCCUUGACAUGUCAGGAAGUUUUCAGAGAUGAGAAUGUGCCCGCGAGGGAACCUGAACACAGGUGCUGCAUGGCUGUCGUCAGCUCGUGUCGUGAGAUGUUGGGUUAAGUCCCGUAACGAGCGCAACCCCUAUUGUUAGUUGCCAGCAAGUAAUGUUGGGCACUCUAAUGAGACUGCCGGUGAUAAACCGGAGGAAGGUGGGGAUGAUGUCAAGUCAUCAUGGCCCUUAUGGGUAGGGCUACACACGUGCUACAAUGGCCGGUACAAAGGGAAGCGAAGUCGCGAGAUGGAGCGAAACCUCAGAAGCCGGUCGUAGUCCGGAUUGGAGUCUGCAACUCGACUCCAUGAAGUCGGAAUCGCUAGUAAUCGUGGAUCAGCAUGCCACGGUGAAUACGUUCCCGGGCCUUGUACACACCGCCCGU
rnacentral:rRNA from 1 species